rnacentral:rRNA from 1 species
GAGCGGUAAGGCCCUUCGGGGUACACGAGCGGCGAACGGGUGAGUAACACGUGGGUGAUCUGCCUCGCACUUCGGGAUAAGCCUGGGAAACUGGGUCUAAUACCGGAUAUGACCUUUCAGUGCAUGCUGUUGGGUGGAAAGAUUUAUCGGUGCGAGAUGGGCCCGCGGCCUAUCAGCUUGUUGGCGGGGUAACGGCCCACCAAGGCGACGACGGGUAGCCGACCUGAGAGGGUGACCGGCCACACUGGGACUGAGACACGGCCCAGACUCCUACGGGAGGCAGCAGUGGGGAAUAUUGCACAAUGGGCGGAAGCCUGAUGCAGCGACGCCGCGUGAGGGAUGACGGCCUUCGGGUUGUAAACCUCUUUCGACAGGGACGAAGCGCAAGUGACGGUACCUGUAGAAGAAGCACCGGCCAACUACGUGCCAGCAGCCGCGGUAAUACGUAGGGUGCGAGCGUUGUCCGGAAUUACUGGGCGUAAAGAGCUUGUAGGCGGUUUGUCGCGUCGUCCGUGAAAACUUGGGGCUC